rnacentral:rRNA from 1 species
GACGAACGCUGGCGGCGUGCUUAACACAUGCAAGUCGAACGGUAAGGCCCUUCGGGGUACACGAGUGGCGAACGGGUGAGUAACACGUGGGUGAUCUGCCCUGCACUUCGGGAUAAGCCUGGGAAACUGGGUCUAAUACCGGAUAGGACCACUGCCUGCAUGGGUGGUGGUGGAAAGCUUUUGCGGUGUGGGAUGGGCCCGCGGCCUAUCAGCUUGUUGGUGGGGUGGUGGCCUACCAAGGCGACGACGGGUAGCCGGCCUGGGAGGGUGACCGGCCACCCUGGGACGGAGGUACGGCGCAGACUCCUACGGGAGGCAGCAGUGGGGAAUAUUGCACGAUGGGGGCAAGCCUGAUGCAGCGACGCCGCGUGGGGGAUGACGGCCUUCGGGUUGUAAACCUCUUUCAGCACCGACGAAGCGCAAGUGACGGUAGGUGCAGAAGAAGGACCGGCCAACUACGUGCCAGCAGCCGCCGUAA